rnacentral:tRNA from 1 species
GCCUGGGUGGCUCAGUCAGUUGAGCAUCUGACUUCGGCUCAGGUCAUGAUCUCACAGUUUGUGAGUUCAAGCCCCGCAUCAGGCU